UCCACCUCCGCCUGGGAUCUGCUCUGAAGGAACUUCUGAGACCAAAGUGAGGAGUUCUCCAGUUUUGGAAGGAAAAAGUUCUUCGGGCAGGAUUGUUAAGACUGAAGAUGUCUUUAAAGAGGCGGCUGCUGUCUAUGUUGUUGUGCUGUGUUUACUGCGUGGCCUCGAUCUUCUGCUUCCACCCAAACCGCAACAACUGCUUCUCUGUCGGAGCUCGGAAUCUGGUGUCAGUCGUCCAGCAGCUUUACCAGCGCGUCAUUCGCCUGCUGCGCACCACUCUGUGAUCCUGUUUUGAACCGUUAACCCUGAACCUGCCCCGUCUCCGUGGCCAGCUGCGUCCAGCAUGUCCUCCAGUAGCACAUUACCAGUUAAAAAGAGAAAGAAGAAACAGAGGAAGAGCAAUGGCGUCGUGUUCUCUGAUCUGCUCAACACUGCGUUUCUCUGACUGUACUUCAGCUGAAGAGAAUCUAAAAAAUGUAUUUUUUUCUAUUGAUGCAGGUUAACAUAAUGACGCGAGUGAGGUGGGAAGGAUGUCAGCAGUCCUCUUUUAAAUGCUUUUAAAGCAGGUUCACUAGUUGCUCUGCACAUGCCGAGGAAUAAUGAAGCUCAAAGAAAUUUGCUCGUGACCAAGAGGAUGCUGAGAGAAUCUGUCACAUGUGACGGAGCAAAUUCUCUCCCCUUCAUAUUUGAGGUCUAUAAUUUGGGUAAACCUAUCCAAACCUAUCGAUCUUUUAGCUGAAAUGCUUAUCCUUAAGGGUCGCAGGGCGGAUGGAACCAAUCCCAGCUGAUACUAUCACAAUGCCGACAUACACACAACCUCUCACAUUCACACCUACAGGUGAUUUAGAGUCACCAGCUAACCUAACCUGCAUGUCUCUGGACUGUGGGAGGAAGCUGGAGUACCCGCAGGAGAACACACUCCACACGGAAAAGCCCAGGGUGAGUCAGGGUUUGAACCCAGAACCUCCUUCUUGCUGUGAGGCGAUGGGGUUAACCAAACCCAAACCCAACAAGGAGCAAGAUCUGAGGGGAGACUGGAUCAAGAAGGGGGCCCAGAGAGAGUCACAAUCGAUCUGAAGCAGACCUGAGGAUAAACAGAUCUGAUCCAAACUGCAGUCGACUGAAAUAGAGAGAGCACUAACACUUGCCUACAGACAGGAUGAGGAAAAAGCUGCAGCACUUUUUUCACGUUUACAGCAACUAAAACGACUUUGAGGGAUGGUCGGCCCAGGUUACAUACCACUGGUUGUGUGCAGAUACUGUUUUGAGAUAUCUCUGAGCUUUGUGCCUCUACGGCAACAGAAAGGAGGUGAAUGGAAUUUAGUUUGUGGAGCUCAAAGCAAUGAAAAUGACAUUUAAAAGAGGAUCUAAAUCUUAAAAACAUGUCCCUGUUAUGGUGGAUUCUCCACAGAAAACAACAGGUUCCACAGGGAAUAAUUCUGCGUAAGAAAACAGCUUCAACUUUUCAAACGCUUACAGUGAGGUAGCUUGUCAGGAAAACAUAAAUAUGGGUUGUUGUUGUUGUAGACUGUAUGAAAAAAGCUGCUGAUGUGUUGUUGUGAUGAGGACAGUUUCUCCAUAGAUGUUGAAAAAGACAGACGUCCACAGCAAUACCCAGAGCAAGCUUUUUAGUGCCGAGAUGAAGCAUUUUCAAAAAAAAAUCUAAUCUUUAGUAAUGUGCUACAGUGAAGUUUUGUGGUAAAAGAGCUGAUCACAGAUAUAAUUUUAGUUGUAAUGCUUGAGUGAAGUGAAUGGGCUCUAAUAUUCUGUGCUGCCUGUUGAAAACAGUGGUGAUUUGAGCGUUAACACUGAGCUAUGACAACUGUCCACUGAGAUGAUACGAUUGAUGACUUUAACUUGAAGUUCUGCUUCAGCUGGUGUGUCUGGAGACUUAUUUCAUAUCAUAAUUUAAAUGUA